rnacentral:lncRNA from 10 species
GGGGAGCGGAGGGAGGGGCGGCAGUAAACCCCAAAGGAGAAGGGAUCGCACCUGUGUUAUUCGCUGCAGUAUCCCAGAAGCACAGUGCUUCACAGGCAAUAUGUGCUUAAUAAAUAUACGCCGAAUGACUGAACUGCAACCAAGGACACUGUAUACUUGCUUUACAGACCUAGUGUAAGGAUGAAACAAGGACGUAGGAUUCAGAGUGUUUGUAAGAGACCAGGCAGAUACCGCGCAGAAUUUCUUACAUGGAUCACCUACAGGCACUAACAUAUUCCCGAGGAAUAUAAACAAUGCUGAAUUCAGGGCGUUUUUCAAGAUGACACAGGUCUCAAGAACACAACCUCUGUUACUCUGUUCCCUCUUAUCCAUCAUCUCAUGCCCGAGUCACAUCUUUGUUGUUGGUGCCUGGCGGCUAUUCUGCAGAAUACCUUGGGGGAAGGUCUGCAAUGUGCCCAAA